UAGCUGCUCUUACGUCCGGAAAUACUUAUUCUAGAGAUGAAUGUAUUUAGACUUAUUUUAAUUAUAGAUACAUUCAUUAUAUGCAUUUUUAGGACAAUUAUUUUCGGACGGAGGGAGUAGUUU
rfam:Hordeum vulgare subsp. vulgare, WGS project CAJW01000000 data, contig: morex_contig_207477